rnacentral:rRNA from 1 species
AGACAGCAGUCGCCGCGGUAAUACGAAGGGGGCUAGUGUUGUUCGGAAUUACUGGGCGUAAAGCGCACGUAGGCGGAUAUUUAAGUCAGGGGUGAAAUCCCAGAGCUCAACUCUGGAACUGCCUUUGAUACUGGGUAUCUUGAGUAUGGAAGAGGUGAGUGGAAUUCCGAGUGUAGAGGUGAAAUUCGUAGAUAUUCGGAGGAUCACCAGUGGCGAAGGCGGCUCACUGGUCCAUUACUGACGCUGAGGUGCGAAAGCGUGGGGAGCAAACAGGAUUAGAUACCCCUGUAGUCCCUGUCUCUUAUAU